UAUGAAUUAUUUUAGUUUAAAAAAGUUUUUUGGUUUACGCAGACCCGUGCCGAACAAACAGUUUUAGAAAUGAGAGUCAUGUUAUUUUGUUUUGUAUUAACCGCUUGCCUCACUGGUUGCUUAUGGGCACUACCGAAUGUAAAAGAAUUAGAAAUGCCUAAAGACGUCUGUUCAAGUUCAACCGGAAACGAAGGAGAAUACUGUCGAGAACAUUGCACCAAAAAAGGCAAAUCUAAUGGCCUUUGCGUGAACGAAGUGUGCCAAUGUGUUUUCGAAUAUUAACUAAAAUAAAACACCCUUAAUCUUUUAUAAAAAGAAAAAAAAACUUAUAUUGCAAGAAAAAUACAAAAUCGUUCUCUACAUCCCUAGAAAGAGAAUAAAAUAAUAAUUAUCACAAAGGAAAGGGUGUAUUACGUUUAAACGGAGAUGUCAAGGCUUAAAUCUAACAUUAAUAAUUAACAUAUUUAACAACUUAACUAUUAAAAAUUUGUUCACAAAAAACUGACGUCAGUCUUUGCACAUAUUUGUAACGCUUAAAUAAAUGCAUAUUUAUACACACAAUAAUAUAA